UUGGCAUAUUCAAUUUGUAUUCAUCAAUCGCAAUGAAAUUAAAAUUAUUACUUUUUAUUCAAAUAGUGUCGUUAAUGAUGCAAAUGAUAAGUUCCUACCUAUUAUUACAUGAGGUUUCUCUCAAUCAAAAUGAUAGUGAAAUAAUAAGACAAGAAAAUUUUCUACUUAAAGUCAAAAAGUCGGUAAAAAUGGAUCUUUGGGACGAAGCGAUUGUUUAUUACCAAAUAGAUGACAUUUUUAAAGGAACGCAACGUAGAAUAAUAAAACAAGGUCUACGCAUGUGGGAAGAAUCAAGUUGCAUUCAAUUUGUCCAAAGAAAUUCGAAUAUCCAUCGAGAUUAUGUCGCCAUUACUAAAUUGGAAUGCGGGUGCUGUUACAAGGAGAAUUACCAAAUGAAUUACCAUUCAUUUUCGCAGAAAUGAAGGUCGCAGUGAAUUGAGCUUAGCUGACGGAUGUGAAGAAAUAGAGAUUAUUCUUUAUGAAUUGGGGCACGUUUUGGGCUUUUACCAUGUGCACCAACAUCCAGACCGUGACCAGUUGGUUCAAAUCAACGAGAGAAAUAUUGAUCAAGGUUAUGAACCAGAAUUUCAGCGGCUCUCACGAGCGCAUGUCGAUACUUUAGGACUGCCUUACGAUUGCCAAUCUGUGAUGUAUUAUCCAAGCGAUGCUUAUGCAUAUUACAAUUUUUGGACUACAAUAGUCCCGAAGCAAACUAUUAAUGGCACAGUACCAAACAUUGGCAACCAAAAAAAUCUAAGCCAGGGUGACGUUAAGGCUAUUAAUCUUCUAUAUAAAUGUCCAACUUGCGGUGUUUUUUAUGGCGUGGUAGGACUCAUGUCAGCUCCAAUGAUUCUGACUCAGAUCUAGUAUACUGUCAGUGACGAAUUGUAGCUUCUAAAGGGGAACGAAUAAUACUCGACGUUUCGACAUCGAAUAUUUCCAUGAAUCAUA